GAUGAACGCUGGCGGCGUGCCUAAUACAUGCAAGUCGAGCGAACGGACGAGAAGCUUGCUUCUCUGAUGUUCGCGGCGGACGGGUGAGUAACACGUGGAUAACCUACCUAUAAGACUGGGAUAACUUCGGGAAACCGGAGCUAAUACCGGAUGAUAUUUUGAACCGCAUGGUUCAAAAGUGAAAGACGGUCUUGCUGUCACUUAUAGAUGGAUCCGCGCUGCAUUAGCUAGUUGGUAAGGUAACGGCUUACCAAGGCAACGAUGCAUAGCCGACCUGAGAGGGUGAUCGGACACACUGGAACUGAGACACGGUCCAGACUCCAACGGGAGGCAGCAGUAGGGAAUCUUCCGCAAUGGGCGAAAGCCUGACGGAGCAACGCCGCGUGAGUGAUGAAGGUCUUCGGAUCGUAAAACUCUGUUAUUAGGGAAGAACAUAUGUGUAAGUAACUGUGCACAUCUUGACGGUACCGAAUCAGAAAGCCACGGCUAACUACGUG
rnacentral:rRNA from 1 species